rnacentral:tRNA from 1 species
GCCCGGGUGGCGGAAUAGGCAGACGCACGGGACUUAAAAUCCCGGGGCCGCAAGGCCGUGCGGGUUCGAUUCCCGCCCCGGGCACCA